rnacentral:tRNA from 1 species
GCGGGGGUUGCCGAGCCAGGUCAAUGAGCUCAACGGCUCGGCUAAAGGCGCAGCCCUGACCCGGCUGUCCCGUAGGGGUUCGUGGGUUCAAAUCCCACCCCCCGC